GACGAACGCUGGCGGCGUGCUUAACACAUGCAAGUCGAACGGAAAGGCCCUGCUUUUGUGGGGUGCUCGAGUGGCGAACGGGUGAGUAACACGUGAGUAACCUGCCCUUGCCUUUGGGAUAACUUCAGGAAACUGGGGCUAAUACCGGAUAGGAGCUCCUGCUGCAUGGUGGGGGUUGGAAAGUUUCGGCGGUUGGGGCUGGACUCGCGGCUUAUCAGCUUGUUGGUGGGGUAGUGGCUUACCAAGGCUUUGACGGGUAGCCGGCCUGAGAGGGUGACCGGCCACAUUGGGACUGAGAUACGGCCCAGACUCCUACGGGAGGCAGCAGUGGGGAAUAUUGCACAAUGGGCGGAAGCCUGAUGCAGCAACGCCGCGUGCGGGAUGACGGCCUUCGGGUUGUAAACCGCUUUCGCCUGUGACGAAGCGUGAGUGACGGUAAUGGGUAAAGAAGCACCGGCUAACUACGUG
rnacentral:rRNA from 1 species